rnacentral:rRNA from 1 species
AGAGUUCGAUUCUGGCUCAGGAUGAACGCUGGCGGCGUGCUUAACACAUGCAAGUCGAACGAAGCACUUUUACAGAUUUCUUCGGAAUGAAGUUUUAGUGACUGAGUGGCGGACGGGUGAGUAACGCGUGGGUAACCUGCCUCACACAGGGGGAUAACAGUUGGAAACGGCUGCUAAUACCGCAUAAGCGCACAGUACCGCAUGGUACAGUGUGAAAAACUCCGGUGGUGUGAGAUGGACCCGCGUCUGAUUAGCUAGUUGGCAGGGUAACGGCCUACCAAGGCGACGAUCAGUAGCCGACCUGAGAGGGUGACCGGCCACAUUGGGACUGAGACACGGCCCAA